CCAGGUUCUUUAAGGAAUCGAGCGACGAGGAGAGGGAACACGCGGAGAUGCUUAUGGAGUACCAGAACAGACGUGGAGGGUGGGUGAGGCUCCAGUCUAUCGUGACCCCAUUGACAGAGUUCGACCACUCUGAGAAAGGCGAUGCUCUGUAUGGUGCCCGGUUUGUGCUCGCUACCGAAGGAGCUCCAUGUUGAAGAAGAUUGAAGAG